ACUUUUACUGAAGUAAAAUACCCGAAUACGUCUUCCAACACUGUUCAAUGCUUAGUGUAGCCACACAUUUACAGGUAGGAAUAUUAUUUUGAAAUAUAUAACCGGAAGCAGUGUAUCCACAUUUUGGUUGUCUUGUCGGUUCUCCUUCUAUUCUUCCCAAUAUUAACCCUUGUGGGAGGGAUCCUCGAGUGUUGUCGCAACAACUACGGCAGACUACAGGCUGUACUUUCCGACCUGUGCCGUUUGAGUUAAGGCAGCGGAGGUUCCACACGAGGAUACUCCAAAAUAGCCUUCCAAAAGGGGAUUAAGUAUGACGGAUACUGACAGAGGGGCUCCGCGGGACUGUACGUAAAGAUGAGGAUUCAUCCGGUGUGGGCGCUGGGCGCUGGCCAGACUGGGUGACGUGAGAACUGAGAGGGAGACCUGUUGAGAAACAACACCUGGGACUGCUGGGGGGGACCUCUGUGCAGGCGAGUCUGACGGAGACGGGAACAUUAUUUCAUGUUCACGCGGCCGUCGGCAGGGUGGAGCUUCCUGACCCAUGGAGAAUUACUUCCAGGCCGAGGCCUUUAACCUGGAUAAGGUGCUGGACGAGUUUGAGCAGACCGAAGGUGAGACGAUCUUUAAAAAAUAAAUAAAAUUGAUGUGGAGACGAACAAUGAGUCACUGUGCUUGAGAAACGACAAAUGGGACAAGGUGUAUCUGUGGGGUUGAAUUUUCACCGAAGUUGUGGUCAGGUUAUGUAAGCCAUGUCACGGUUGCUGACGAUCGGCCACCACCCGAUGAGUGUGAGUAACAUCUACAGUUGGUGUUUGAGGGUGUGCAGAGAGGGAAUAGGACUAAUUGUUUUAUCAAUUUCCCUUUGGGCUUGUGUGAAACUGUGUAAUUGAUGCAAGACAAUAGCCUCUUUUUUUUCUUCUUCACACUUAAUGCUCACAAUAAGUAAAUAAAUUGUGUUAGGGCCUAUUUUAAAAAGUGCUUUCAUAGAGUUUAUUUAUGGUUAUCGUAAAGUAAACGCACUAAGCUGUGUAUCUGCAGACUCGCAGCUUUUUUUUCCUUCUGGAUUUAUGGCUGAUGAUGACCCCAGAAAAAUCCCAGUCUUCCACACGCAGCAUAUUUUUGAUGGCUCUGUGAGCUCAGUGUGUGUUUUGGCUGUGAGUGAUUAUCUGUGUGUCCUCUGCCAGAGAUCUAGCUUGGCAGAUUAACUCUGUGUGAGUGAAUGAACCUGCUUCAGCACAUACUAGAACAGCUUAGCAUAAAUUCCAGCGGAGGGAGGAGAGCGCCAUACAGUAGCUGA